GAUGAACGCUAGCUACAGGCUUAACACAUGCAAGUCGAGGGACCGGCGCACGAGUGAGUAACACGUAUCCAACCUCCCCUUUACUCGGGGAUAGCCUUUCGAAAGGCAGAUUAAUACCCGAUAACAGGGAUGGGGAUGCGUUCCAUUAGGUUGUUGGUGAGGUAACGGCACACCAAGCCUUCGAUGGAUAGGGGUUCUGAGAGGAAGGUCCCCCACACUGGAACUGAGACACGGUCCAAACGCCUACGGGAGGCAGCAGUUAGGAAUAUUGGGCAAUGGGCGUUAGCCUGAACCAGCCAAGUAGUGUGAAGGAUGAAGGCUUAUGGGUCGUAAACUUCUUUUAUAUAAGAAUAUGUAUUAUAUGAAUAAGGAUCGGCUAACUCCGUGCCAGCAGCCGCGGUAAUUC
rnacentral:rRNA from 1 species